UAGUCCACACCGUAAACGAUGAAUGCCAGACGUCGGGGGGCUUGCCCUUCGGUGUCACACCUAACGGAUUAAGCAUUCCGCCUGGGGAGUACGGUCGCAAGAUUAAAACUCAAAGGAAUUGACGGGGACCCGCACAAGCGGUGGAGCAUGUUGUUUAAUUCGAAGCAACGCGAAGAACCUUACCCACACUUAACUAUCCUCUUGGGACUUUCAGAGAUGAUUGUCUUCGGUUCGGCCGGGGAGUGAAUAGGUGCUGCAUGGCUGUCGUCAGCUCGUGUCGUGAGAUGUUCGGUUAAGUCCGGUAACGAGCGCAACCCUUAUUGUUAGUUGCCAUCAUUCAGUUGGGCACUCUAACAAGACUGCCGGUGAUAAGCCGGAGGAAGGCGGGGACGACGUCAAGUCAUCAUGGCCCUUACGUGUGGGGCUACAAACGUGCUACAAUGGCAGUGACAAUGGGUUAAUCCCAAAAAGCUAGUCUCAGUUCGGAUUGGGGUCUGCAACUCGACCCCAUGAAGUCGGAAUCGCU
rnacentral:rRNA from 1 species